rnacentral:rRNA from 1 species
AGUGAACGCUGGCGGUAGGCCUAACACAUGCAAGUCGAACGGCAGCACAGUAAGAGCUUGCUCUUACGGGUGGCGAGUGGCGGACGGGUGAGGAAUACAUCGGAAUCUACCUUUUCGUGGGGGAUAACGUGGGGAAACUUACGCUAAUACCGCAUACGACCUACGGGUGAAAGCAGGGGAUCUUCGGACCUUGCGCGAUUGAAUGAGCCGAUGUCGGAUUAGCUAGUUGGCGGGGUAAAGGCCCACCAAGGCGACGAUCCGUAGCUGGUCUGAGAGGAUGAUCAGCCACACUGGAACUGAGACACGGUCCAGACUCCUACGGGAGGCAGCAGUGGGGAAUAUUGGACAAUGGGCGCAAGCCUGAUCCAGCCAUACCGCGUGGGUGAAGAAGGCCUUCGGGUUGUAAAGCCCUUUUGUUGGGAAAGAAAAGCAGCAGGUUAAUACCCCGCUGUUCUGACGGUACCCAAAGAAUAAGCACCGGCUAACUUCGUG